rnacentral:rRNA from 1 species
GACGAACGCUGGCGGCGUGCCUAAUACAUGCAAGUAGAACGCUGAAGAGAGGAGCUUGCUCUUCUUGGAUGAGUUGCGAACGGGUGAGUAACGCGUAGGUAACCUGCCUGGUAGCGGGGGAUAACUAUUGGAAACGAUAGCUAAUACCGCAUGAAAUUGCUUAUCGCAUGAUAAUUGAUUGAAAGAUGCAAUUGCAUCACUACCAGAUGGACCUGCGUUGUAUUAGCUAGUUGGUGAGGUAACGGCUCACCAAGGCGACGAUACAUAGCCGACCUGAGAGGGUGAUCGGCCACACUGGGACUGAGACACGGCCCAGACUCCUACGGGAGGCAGCAGUAGGGAAUCUUCGGCAAUGGGGGGAACCCUGACCGAGCAACGCCGCGUGAGUGAAGAAGGUUUUCGGAUCGUAAAGCUCUGUUGUAAGAGAAGAACGGGUGUGAGAGUGGAAAGUUCACACUGUGACGGUAUCUUACCAGAAAGGGACGGCUAACUACGUG